UGGGGAAUUUUGGACAAUGGGCGAAAGCCUGAUCCAGCAAUGCCGCGUGUGUGAAGAAGGCCUUCGGGUUGUAAAGCACUUUUGUCCGGAAAGAAAUCCUUGGCUCUAAUACAGUCGGGGGAUGACGGUACCGGAAGAAUAAGCACCGGCUAACUACGUGCCAGCAGCCGCGGUAAUACGUAGGGUGCAAGCGUUAAUCGGAAUUACUGGGCGUAAAGCGUGCGCAGGCGGUUUGCUAAGACCGAUGUGAAAUCCCCGGGCUCAACCUGGGAACUGCAUUGGUGACUGGCAGGCUAGAGUAUGGCAGAGGGGGGUAGAAUUCCACGUGUAGCAGUGAAAUGCGUAGAGAUGUGGAGGAAUACCGAUGGCGAAGGCAGCCCCCUGGGCCAAUACUGACGCUCAUGCACGAAAGCGUGGGGAGCAAACAGGAUUAGAUACCCUGGGUAGUCCACGCCCUAAACGAUGUCAACUAGUUGUUGGGGAUUCAUUUCCUUAGUAACGUAGCUAACGCGUGAAGUUGACCGCCUGGGGAGUACGGUCGCAAGAUUAAAACUCAAAGGAAUUGACGGGGUCAUA
rnacentral:rRNA from 1 species